GACGAACGCUGGCGGCGUGCUUAACACAUGCAAGUCGAACGGAAAGGCCCUGCUUUUGUGGGGUGCUCGAGUGGCGAACGGGUGAGUAACACGUGAGUAACCUGCCCUUGACUUUGGGAUAACUUCAGGAAACUGGGGCUAAUACCGGAUAGGAGCUCCUGCUGCAUGGUGGGGGUUGGAAAGUUUCGGCGGUUGGGGAUGGACUCGCGGCUUAUCAGCUUGUUGGUGGGGUAGUGGCUUACCAAGGCUUUGACGGGUAGCCGGCCUGAGAGGGUGACCGGCCACAUUGGGACUGAGAUACGGCCCAGACUCCUACGGGAGGCAGCAGUGGGGAAUAUUGCACAAUGGGCGGAAGCCUGAUGCAGCAACACCGCGUGCGGGAUGACGGCCUUCGGGUUGUAAACCGCUUUCGCCUGUGACGAAGCGUGAGUGACGGUAAUGGGUAAAGAAGCACCGGCUAACUACGU
rnacentral:rRNA from 1 species